ensembl:lincRNA
UGGGGGGGGCCCUGAGGUGGCCGGUCGUGCCCGCGUGGCCUCGGGCAGUGGAGGCUGGCACCCGGAGGCUGUCGCGAAGAGGGUCAGGGCUGCAGGCCGGGAAGAGGCUCUCCCCUGACUGGACGUCGGAGUCACCUGGAUGGCUUCUAAAUGCAGAUGCCCCGCCCCACCCCUCAGAGUCACCGUCGAGGAGUGGAGUUUGCUCAAGACCAAAACAGCAUCAGAGGAGGAAUUAAAAACGUUUCCCAGGACCAGUGAGACAGCUCAGCAGAAUGGUUUUGGCACCACUGCCCGAGUGAGGACCUGCAGAGCCUCUGUCCUUCUGCUGUAG